UGAAUUAACUGAAAACACAUCCAUACCUGUUUUCUGUCAACCCCUUUGCUUCCCAAGGAGACAAAUUCACCCAUGCCCCCUGGGCCAUGGUAUUUUAAACUACUAUCAUAGAAGGAAGCUGAUAUUACUGAUUUCACAUCAGGGGCACAGGAUUUUCGUUGUUUCUUUGUUUCAUCCAGCCACGAAGAUCCUCUGAUUCACCUUCGCUGCUCCCAGUUGUUACCAAGAACAUGCAUUUUGCAAGCUAAUGAACCAAAAUCUAAGGGAUUCAGGACUGCAGACCAGGCAAACGUUCAUGGCUUUGAGAUGUAACAUUGCCAGGAUGGACAGGCAUGUCCUGAGUACCCUGAGCGAGGACAGAAGGACACACCUGAUGCUCUUUGCCUCUCUCCACGGUCCAAAGGAAUUGUUCUGGGUCCUGAGCAUCGUUUGUGAUCCCCUGGUUCACUUCAGCUGCUGGAGCUCUACUCUCUGCCUUCUUGUAUCACUGAAGUGGAUGCAGAAAUCUAAUACUUGGAACUUCUCUAACUUUGUG